rnacentral:misc_RNA from 1 species
CUAUGCAUAUACUUCUU